rnacentral:rRNA from 1 species
GUUAGUGGCGCACGGGUGCGUAACGCGUGGGAAUCUGCCCCUUGCUUCGGAAUAACAGUUAGAAAUGACUGCUAAUACCGGAUGAUGACUUCGGUCCAAAGAUUUAUCGCCUUUAGAUGGGCCCGCGUUAGAUUAGAUAGUUGGUGGGGUAAUGGCCUACCAAGUCGACGAUCUAUAGCUGGUCUGAGAGGAUGAUCAGCCACACUGGGACUGAGACACGGCCCAGACUCCUACGGGAGGCAGCAGUGGGGAAUAUUGGACAAUGGGCGCAAGCCUGAUCCAGCAAUGCCGCGUGAGUGAUGAAGGCCUUAGGGUUGUAAAGCUCUUUUACCAGGGAUGAUAAUGACAGUACCUGGAGAAUAAGCUCCGGCUAACUCCGUGCCAGCAGCCGCGGUAAUACGGAGGGAGCUAGCGUUGUUCGGAAUUACUGGGCGUAAAGCGCGCGUAGGCGG